rnacentral:rRNA from 1 species
AUUGAACGCUGGCGGCAGGCCUAACACAUGCAAGUCGAGCGAGAGGCGGACGGGGGAGUAAUGUCUGGGAAACCGCCUGCUGGAGGGGGAUAACUACUCGAAACGGUGGCGAAUACCGCAUACCAUCAGAGGGGCCCAGAUGGGAUGAGAUAGUAGGUGGGGUAACGGCUCACACAGGCGACGAUCCCUAGCUGGUCUGAGAGGAGGACCAGCCACACUGGAACUGAGACACGGUCCAGACUCCUACGGUAGGCAGCAGUGGGGAAUAUUGGACAAUGGGCGAAAGCCUGAUGCAGCCAUGCCGCGUGUAUGAAGAAGGCCUUCGGGUUGUAAAGCACUUUCAGCUGGGAGGCGUUACCCGCAGAAGAAGCACCGGCUAACUCCGUGCCAGCCGCCGCGGUAAUAC